AAGGGGUGACGGCGUACCUUUUGUAUAAUGGGUCAGCGACUUACGUUCAGUAGCAAGCUUAACCGUAUAGGGCAGGCGUAGCGAAAGCGAGUCCGAAUAGGGCGUUCAGUUGCUGGGCGUAGACCCGAAACCAAGUGAUCUAUCCAUGGCCAGGAUGAAGGUGCGGUAACACGUACUGGAGGUCCGAACCCACUAACGUUGAAAAGUUAGGGGAUGAGCUGUGGAUAGGGGUGAAAGGCUAAACAAACUUGGAAAUAGCUGGUUCUCUCCGAAAACUAUUUAGGUAGUGCCUCGUGUCUCACCUUCGGGGGUAGAGCACUGUCAUGGUUGGGGGGUCUAUUGCAGAUUACCCCGCCAUAGCAAACUCCGAAUACCGAAGAGUGCAAUCACGGGAGACAGACAUCGGGUGCUAACGUCCGGUGUCAAGAGGGAAACAACCCAGACCGCCAGCUAAGGUCCCCAAAUAUAGCUAAGUGGGAAACGAAGUGGGAAGGCUAAAACAGUCAGGAGGUUGGCUUAGAAGCAGCCACCCUUUAAAGAAAGCGUAAUAGCUCACUGAUCGAGUCGUCCUGCGCGGAAGAUGUAACGGGGCUAAGCUAUAUACCGAAGCUGCGGAUGC
rnacentral:rRNA from 1 species